GGACGGGUCACGGGGUCAGGAACAGGUAGUCAGGCCGAACCCAUCUGGCCAUCUCUCUGUCGCGUUUCCGUCCCUCAUCUCUCCCUCCAUCGCGUCGAACCCUCCAAACCUCCAAUCCUCCAUGGAUGAUGGACCCGGCUCUCUCCCUCUCGUCGUCGAAACCUCCUGGCCUCCCACCUCUCCGGCUCUUCCUCUCUUGACGAAAGAAAUCCCGAGUUCCGAUCAGCGGCUCGGUGCAGCGCUGCAACGACAGCACAGCGGCGGUCGCAUGCCUCGCGGUAGAUCUCGAGUUCGAUCGGUGAAGCUCCGGCGGCGACGCGGCAAGACGGAGGCCGCGGGCGGUGCGGGGAGGCGGCUCGGGCGCGGCCGUGGCGAGGGAGGCCGAUCGGAGAAGAAGAUGAGCAGUGAUUUUUUUUUCCCUUUACCCUCCCGCCUCUCUCUCUCGAUCUCUCUCCUCUCUCUCUCUC
rnacentral:lncRNA from 1 species